rnacentral:rRNA from 1 species
GACGAACGCUGGCGGCGUGCCUAAUACAUGCAAGUAGAACGCUGAAGGAGGAGCUUGCUUCUCUGGAUGAGUUACGAACGGGUGAGUAACGCGUAGGUAACCUGCCUGGUAGCGGGGGAUAACUAUUGGAAACGAUAGCUAAUACCGCAUAAGAGUAGAUGUUGCAUGACAUUUGCUUAAAAGGUGCAAUUGCAUCACUACCAGAUGGACCUGCGUUGUAUUAGCUAGUUGGUGGGGUAACGGCUCACCAAGGCGACGAUACAUAGCCGACCUGAGAGGGUGAUCGGCCACACUGGGACUGAGACACGGCCCAGACUCCUACGGGAGGCAGCAGUAGGGAAUCUUCGGCAAUGGACGGAAGUCUGACCGAGCAACGCCGCGUGAGUGAAGAAGGUUUUCGGAUCGUAAAGCUCUGUUGUAAGAGAAGAACGAGUGUGAGAGUGGAAAGUUCACACUGUGACGGUAUCUUACCAGAAAGGGACGGCUAACUACGUG